rnacentral:lncRNA from 10 species
UUUUGAGACAGCCUAACUUGGUGAAACCCCGUCUCCACUAAAAAUAGAAAAAUUAGCUGGACCUGGUGGCAAGCGCCUGUAAUCCCAGCUAGUCAGGGGCCUGAGGUAGAAGAAUCACUUGUACCCAGGAGGCGGAGGUUGCAGCGAGCCGAGAUAGUGCCACUGCACUGGCAGGUGCCAGUCCGGGUGACAGAGUGAGAGUGAGACUCUGUCUCAAAAAAAAAAAUUAAAAUAAAAUAAUACUUUAAAAAUACCGAUGGAGGGUGAGUUUAAAAUUGAAGUUCAAAAGACAUUUAGCCUGUUUACAUUUAAGGUUAAUAUUGUUAUGUGUGAAUUUGGUCCUGCCAUUAUGAUGCCAGCUGGUUAUUUUACCCAUUAGUUGAUGCAGCUUCUUCAUAGUGUCAAUGUUCUUUACAAUUUGGUAUGUUUUUGUAGUGGCUGGUACUGGUUUUUCAUUUCCAUAUUCAGUGCUUCCUUCAGGAGCUCUUGUAAGGCAGGCCUGUUGGUGACAGCAUCCCUCAGCAUUUGCUUGUCUGUAGAGGAUUUUAUUUAUCCUUCACUUAUGAAGCUUAGUUUGGCUGGAUAUGAAAUUCUGGGUUGAAAAUUCUUUUGUUUAAGAAUGCUGAAUUUUGGCCCCCACUCUUUUCUGGCUUGCAGGGUUUCUACAGAGAGAUCUGCUGUUAGUCUGAUGGGCUUCCCUUUGUGGAU